CGUCAAAUCACUGCCCCCGCUGGCGCGCGCGUGGCGGUAUCGAGCUAGCUUGAUUACGAAAAGUUUGUCUUGGUAGAAUUUGACUUUGUGGCAGAACUUCCGUUGUUUUUGUUUUUUGACCACUCCAGGGCGGAGUCUUCUGCUCCACAUGUCGAGCUCGAAGGCGACUCUUUUAACAAUGUUUUUAUUUUUUUAUUGUUAUCCCAGAACGCGCCUCUUCGCACCGGCCAGGAUCAGGUCAUCUCCCUCCAGGGAGGAGUCGGCCGUCACAUGGACUGCCUUAAUGGUCCCAGCCAACGGGGAGUUGACCACAGUCUCCAUCUUCAUGGCCGAGAGCACACACAGCGGCUGACCCUUCUCCACCUGUCACCAUUACAAAGGACUUUUCCAGGCAUGGGUGCUCCCACUUGACCCUUGAUAGACUUCUGGGCCUUGGGGUGGAACUUCAUUUCCUGUGUGGAGGAACAAAGAGAGAUUUCAUGCAUCCAUCUGUCGCAGGUCGUUCCUUCCUGCAGCUGCUCCCAGUCGACCACAUGAUCCACAGUCUGCACUAUGAAGUCACUCAGUGUCUUUAACCAGUACAGAUCUCAGCUGUCCGUUGAGCUCGAAGAAGACCUCUCUCUGACCGGCCUUGUUCAGGUCACCCAGUGCCAGCGCCUUGAUGUGGAGGAUCUUCCCUCUCUCCAGCUCCACCUGAGAGGGGAGGAGGACAGAAAUUAUAUUACAGUUUGAGUUUUGUCCAGCUAAAGCAAUAAAAUACAGACAGCAGCACCUGAUUAAAGUUAGUGGGGCGAGGCAAACAGAAUGUUUACUUCUCUACUUUUUUCUUUUCACCCUCUCAUAUUGGAAUAUGCAAUGUUUCUCUUUACUGAUGGUGCUGUGGUGGCUUAUGUAUUGUCAUCAGUACAUGCUUCUGUUGUUUAGAGGCCAGCCAAACAAACUUGAGUUUCCUAUGGGCAUCCAUGUUUUCCAUGCGCUGGAACAACAGCACACAUUUUGACUGGUCAUAGGUGUUAUUAAUAACACUAUAGUAAAACAUAACACCAACUUUCACAACACCAGGCCAUGAAACUGAGGCAGCUCAAUGGAAUUUGUUAUGCCCAACUAUACUAUGAUGUUUUUAACAUUUUAAUGCUUUACUACUGUAUGUAGUGUCUUGAGAUAAUGUAUGGCAUGAUUUGGUGCUAUACAAAUAAUAUUGAAUUCAAUUGGAUUGUUGUAUAUUUUUUCAGUAUUUAUGCCAUACUACUAUGCUGUUUAAGGCCUUACUACACUAUGCCAUCUCAUGCCUCGUUAUAUUAUGGCGUUUUAUGCUGUUUGUAUGCCAUAAUAAACAAUGCCCUUUUUUCGCCAUACUA